CCUCCGCUGGAGUCGCUUAGUCGUCUUUUUCUCUCGGCAUUUUACCCCUUUUAUUUUAAUUCGCCGUUCCCCUUCUCCUCCGUUUCCCAAGUUUCGCAUAAUUAUUGCUCGGGUCCAGUCAGUAAGAAGUGCCUGAACUGGCCAACCAAUCAGCGAGAAAGGAUCGGUGUUACUAAGCAGAUACUGUUUUGAUUAGCGUUAGAAGGGGCGGGUAGAAAAAGCGAGAUAGGAGGAACUGAUGCUGCUCAGGCUGUUAUCUAACCGUUGUGAAUGCGUUGCUAGUAUCACGUAGGAUUGGAGGAGAGCGGUUACGUUUGUUGUUGUUUCCCCCCCCCCCUCAGCUUUUAUUUUGAAUGCUAAACAAAUGUGAUGCUAGAUUCCUUCUCUCCUGCAGAGGAAAAUGGCUGAUAAGCCCCCUAUAAAUGUUCAGUUGACGCACUUUCAAAUUUUUCAGGACUAAGCUUGACGCUCAAAUCGGAUCAGAUUCAGGCCAAAGAUCUUCUGAGCAAAAUUCCUUUUUCCAGUCAUAUACAAAAGAUGGUCUUAUUGAAUCUUUCCAGAACAAAUCUAGAAGAGAAUGGAUUUUUUUUCUUCAGCAAGUGAUGAGAAAUUUUUCCCUCAUCUGAAUUUUAACUCUGAACAAACUAGUUUGUAACUGCUGGGCGAUUCAUUGGUAAUUUUGAUGGUGAGAGGAAAAUCUUUGGUUCCUAUUGGUUGAGCUGAUGGGCCUUAUCAUGGCUGUGAAUAUGCCAUCUGCUGAAGGAAAUGAUCAGCCAUGCCUUUGGUUUCACCAGAUGAGGAAGCUGCAAUUUCUUCAUGUACUUUGUAAAAUUCUUGGACAUGGUGCCAAGUACCCUGAUGACAAUGGGUAUCAGUUCUCUUUCUUCGACUCUGGCAUAGAAGAAAAUUGUAUGCUUCGGUUUUUGACAACUAUGAUACCUAGCGUGUUGUGUUCCAAACGAUCCAUCUGUAUUUGAAAGUCCCACAAAAUCUUCACCUUAUUUUCAACCAUUUAUGUUCCCAUGACUUUUCAGAUACAGAUGCCUGUUAGAGCAAAUUCGUGAAGUGCAAUUGCAUCAGAUGGGAAUGCAGAAGAAAAAUUACAGACAAAUACGAAAUACAUUAAGAGAAUCAAGAAGUGGGAUAAAACUCAUACAAAAAGGAAUAAACCCUGAAUACAUUAGUACUAAUGAUUGUCUGGGGGAAACAGACCAAAGGAAGGACUUGCGAAAAGGUUUAGCUAAAACUUGUUGGAAGAGGUGAAACCCUAGAAAAGAAGAGAAGAUGACAUUUUAGUGGAAGUUGAAUAAUGGGGAAUGUGCAGCUUAAUAAAUUUAUACAAUAAUGUUAAAUUAAUGGGGUUAAUUAUUUAAUGAUAUUUUUUCUUGUUUAAAUAAGAAUGGAAUGUUAAAAACUAUUCAGUACAAAAAGAAUUUAUGAGACUUGGGCUUGUCCAGGUUUGGUAUUUUCCCUUCUUACUCCAUAUAGCUUGUGCAAUGAAGUCUUUAUGCUACA